UGUAGAUGUGGAGUCUACACUUUGUGCGAUGUCCAUGAUGAUUACUAGUACGGCAAUCUUGAUCAUGUUGAUGGAUGACUGAAGUUCCCGAAUGUGAUUCUCUGCGUUAUGUAUUUAAAUUUUUAUUUUUUUUUUUCUUCCGUGACAGUUGGCUCGGCAGUGGGUCUAGUUGUCUUUUAGAGGUUGUGGCUUCAUACGCAGGUGAGGAGGUCGGUGCGUAUGGGUCUCGGGACAGCCAUCAAGUGGUAUCUGCACAGAGUAA